rnacentral:rRNA from 1 species
GCAGUCGAGCGAAUCAGAUGGGAGCUUGCUCCCUGAUGUUAGCGGCGGACGGGUGAGUAACACGUGGGCAACCUGCCUGUAAGACUGGGAUAACUCCGGGAAACCGGAGCUAAUACCGGAUGCUUGCUUUUCUCGCAUGAGACAAGAUGGAAAGACGGUUUACGCUGUCACUUAUAGAUGGGCCCGCGGCGCAUUAGCUAGUUGGUGAGGUAAUGGCUCACCAAGGCGACGAUGCGUAGCCGACCUGAGAGGGUGAUCGGCCACACUGGGACUGAGACACGGCCCAGACUCCUACGGGAGGCAGCAGUAGGGAAUCUUCCGCAAUGGACGAAAGUCUGACGGAGCAACCCCGCGUGAACGAAGAAGGGUUUCGGAUCCUAAAGUUCUGUUGUUAGGGAAGAACAAGUACCGGACUAACUGGUGGGACCUUGACCGGACCUAAACCGAAAACCCCCGGUAACUACCUGGCCACAACCCCGGGAAUACCUAAGUGGGCAGCCUUUUCCCGAAAUAUUGGGGCUAAAACGCGUGCAGGGGGGCUCUUAAAUCUUAUGUGGGAAACCCCCGGGCAACCCGGGAAGGGCAUUGGAAACUGGGGAACUUGUGUGCCCAAAAAGAAAGGGGAAAUCCCC